UACGAAGGGGGCUAGCGUUGCUCGGAAUCACUGGGCGUAAAGGGUGCGUAGGCGGGUCUUUUAAGUCAGGGGUGAAAUCCUGGAGCUCAACUCCAGAACUGCCUUUGAUACUGAGGAUCUUGAGUUCGGGAGAGGUGAGUGGAACUGCGAGUGUAGGGGUGAAAUUCGUAGAUAUUCGCAAGAACACCAGUGGCGAAGGCGGCUCACUGGCCCGGUACUGACGCUGAGGUGCGAAAGCGUGGGGAGCAAACAGGG
rnacentral:rRNA from 1 species